GACGAACGCUGGCGGCGUGCCUAAUACAUGCAAGUAGAACGCUGAAGGAGGAGCUUGCUUCUCUGGAUGAGUUGCGAACGGGUGAGUAACGCGUAGGUAACCUGCCUGGUAGCGGGGGAUAACUAUUGGAAACGAUAGCUAAUACCGCAUAAUAUUGACUAUUGCAUGAUAGUCAGUUGAAAGGUGCAACUGUACCACUACCAGAUGGACCUGCGUUGUAUUAGUUAGUUGGUGGGGUAACGGCUCACCAAGGCGACGAUACAUAGCCGACCUGGGAGGGUGAUCGGCCACCCUGGGACUGGGACCCGGCCCAGACUCCUACGGGAGGCAGCAGUAGGGAAUCUUCGGCAAUGGACGGAAGUCUGAACGAGCAACGCCGCGUGAGUGAAGAAGGGUUUCGGAUCGUAAAGCUCUGUUGUAAGAGGAGAACGAGUGUGGGAGUGGACAGCUCACACUGUGACGGUAUCUUACCAGAAAGGGACGGCUAACUACGUG
rnacentral:rRNA from 1 species